ACGGGAGGCAGCAGUGGGGAGUAUUGGACAAUGGGGGAAACCCUGAUCCAGCGACGCCGCGUGAGUGAAGAAGUAUUUCGGUAUGUAAAGCUCUAUCAGCAAGGAAGAAAAUGACGGUACUUGACUAAGAAGCUCCGGCUAAAUACGUGCCAGCAGCCGCGGUAAUACGUAUGGAGCAAGCGUUAUCCGGAUUUACUGGGUGUAGAGGGAGCGUAGACGGUAAAGCAAGUCUGAAGUGAAAUCCCGGGGCUCAACCCCGGAACUGCUUUGGAAACUGUUUAACUAGAGUGCAGGAGAGGUAAGUGGAAUUCCUAGUGUAGCGGUGAAAUGCGUAGAUAUUGGGAGGAACACCAGUGGCGAAGGCGGUUUACUGGACGACAACUGACGCUGAGACACGAAAGCGUGGGUAGCAAACAGGAUUAGAUACCCUGGUA
rnacentral:rRNA from 1 species